AACGAACGCUGGCAGCGUGGAUUAGGCAUGCAAGUCGAACGGAAUUUUCCAGUGUAGCAAUACAUUGGGAAUGAUAGUGGCGAAAGGGCGAGUAAUACGUAGGUAACCUGCCUCGAAGCUGGGGAUAACUUGCCGAAAGGCGAACUAAUACCGAAUGUGGUUGUUCUUCGCAUGAAGGACNGACUAAACGACGGGGAUUCUUCGGAACCUGUCGCUUCGAGAGGGGCCUGCGCGCCNUCANCUAGUUGAUGAGGUAACGGCUCACCAAGGNUUACGGCUAGGUGGUCUGAGAGGAUGGUCACCCGCACUGGGACUGAGACACUGCCCANACUCCUACGGGAGGCUGCAGUCNAGAAUCUUUUGCAAUGGGCGCAAGCCUGACAAAGCGACGCUGCGUGGAGGAUGAAGGCCUUCGGGUUGUAAACUCUUGUCAUUCGGGAAUAACGAGCGGUGGACUAAUAAUCUAUCGCAGUGACGGUACCGGAAGAGGAAGUCACGGCCAAACUCUGUGCCAGCAGCCGCGGUAAUACAGAGGUGGCGAGCGUUGUUCGGAUUUACUGGGCGUAAAGGGCGCGUAGGCGGUUAUGUAUGUCGGAUGUGAAAUCCCACUGCUCAACGGUGGAACUGCAUUCGAAACUGCGUAACUAGAGUGUAGGAUGGGAGAGUGGAAUUCUAGGUGUAGCGGUGAAAUGCGUUGAUAUCUAGAAGAACACCGGUGGCGAAGGCGGCUCUCUGGAAUACUACUGACGCUGAGGCGCGAAAGCUGGGGGAGCAAACAGGUUUAGAUACCCUGGUAGUCCCAGCCCUAAACGGUGUGAACUUGGUGUGGCGGUGUUGACCCCGCCGUGCCGGAGCUAACGCGUUAAGUUCACCGCCUGGGGAGUACGAUCGCAAGAUUAAAACUCAAAGAAAUUGACGGGGGCCCGCACAAGCGGAGGAGCAUGUGGCUUAAUUCGAUGCAACGCGAAGAACCUUACCAAGGUUUGACAUGCAGCUGCACGACCUAUGAAAGUAGGUUUCCUUCGAGGGUGCUGCACAGGUGCUGCAUGGCUGUCGUCAGUUCGUGCCGUGAGGUGUUGGGUUAAGUCCCGCAACGAACGCAACCCCUGUGACUAGUUGCCAUCAGGUAAUGCUGGGCACUUUAGUCAGACUGCCCAUUAGUGGAGGAAGGUGGGGACGACGUCAAGUCAGUAUGGCCUUUAUACCUUGGGCUGCACACGUGCUACAAUGGUUGGUACAGAAGGAAGCAAGACCGCAAGGUGGAGCAAAUCCCUAAAGCCAACCCCAGUUCGGAUUGGAGUCUGCAACUCGACUCCAUGAAGCCGGAUUCGCUAGUAAUGGCGCAUCAGCUACGGCGCCGUGAAUACGUUCCCGGGCCUUGUACACACCGCCCGUCACAUCAUGAAAGCCGUCUGCACCCGAAGCCGGUGAGCGAACCUGAAAAGGACGCAGCUGUCUAAGGUGUGGGUGGUAAUUGGGAUGAAGUCGUAACAAGGUAGCCGUAGGGGAACCUGCGGCUGGAUCACCUCCUUU
rnacentral:rRNA from 1 species